rnacentral:rRNA from 1 species
UACGGGGGGGGCUAGCGUUGUUCGGAAUUACUGGGCGUAAAGGGCUCGUAGGCGGCCAACUAAGUCAGACGUGAAAUCCCUCGGCUUAACCGGGGAACUGCGUCUGAUACUGGAUGGCUUGAGUUUGGGAGAGGGAUGCGGAAUUCCAGGUGUAGCGGUGAAAUGCGUAGAUAUCUGGAGGAACACCGGUGGCGAAGGCGGCAUCCUGGACCAACACUGACGCUGAGUGAGCGAAAGCCAGGGGAGCAAACGGG